ensembl:lncRNA
GGGGAAAGAGGAAGAACCUUUUAGAGAGGAAGAGGAUGCUAUCUCAAUAAAGGUGAAGAAGGAAGACGUUUUUGGAGUGAAAGAGGAGACAGAAUAUCAGAUUAACACCAGAGAGAGACAUGACUAUCGUGGAUCCUCUGGGAAGCUUCAACAACAUCCUGAUGCUGACGACGCAGAGAAGAGUCUCUCCAGAUCAGAACACCAGAUGGACAACGCUAGCCCUUCCUCCCUCCCGGAGUCCCCGUGUCGUACCUCUCCCGGUAGCACCUUACUGCUGGGUAUGAAGAGGUUGUCUGUGCUGCUGGUGGACUGCAGGAAAACAACGGGGCUGAGUGGAACUGUGAGAGGAGGAGAAGAGAAGAAAGGAUCAGAUUUGACACAUCAAAGUACGUAGUUUA